CAGUAGCCACGGUAAUACGUAGGUGGCAAGCGUUGUCCGGAAUAACUGGGCGUAAAGGGUGCGCAGGUGGUUUAACAAGUUAGUGGUGAAAGGCAUAGGCUCAACCAAUGUAAGCCAUUAAAACUGUUUAACUUGAGUGCAGGAGAGGAAAGUGGAAUUCCUAGUGUAGCGGUGAAAUGCGUAGAUAUUAGGAGGAAUACCAGUGGCGAAGGCGACUUUCUGGACUGCAACUGACACUGAGGCACGAAAGCGUGGGGAGCAAACAGGAUUAGAUACCCGAGUAGUCCCUGUCUCUUAUACC
rnacentral:rRNA from 1 species